rnacentral:snRNA from 1 species
UUGCUUUGGCAGCACAUAUACUAAAAUUGGAAUGAUACAGAGAAGAUUAGCGUGGCCCUUGUGCAAGGAUGACACGCAAAUUCAUGAAGCGUUCCAUAUUUUU